UACGAAGGGGGCUAGCGUUGCUCGGAAUGACUGGGCGUAAAGGGCGCGUAGGCGGUUUGCACAGUCAGGCGUGAAAUUCCUGGGCUUAACCUGGGGCUGCGCUUGAUACGUGUGGACUGGAGUGCGGAAGAGGGUCGUGGAAUUCCCAGUGUAGAGGUGAAAUUCGUAGAUAUUGGGAAGAACACCGGUGGCGAAGGCGGCGACCUGGUCCGUGACUGACGCUGAG
rnacentral:rRNA from 1 species